AUUUUUGAUAAAAUGGCUGACAAGCUGUGUGUUCGCCGUGAACUACUGGAUCCUAACUUUGAUGGAUACAAGCUUAGUCUAGAUCCUUUGCCUACGUAUACAUGCAAAUUUGAUAAUGGUCUUGCCUUUACCUCACUGUCUCAGGAUCAGUACUCCUACCACCAUGCUAAACUCUUUGGUGUUCAUAAUCACUUGUACCAGGACCCUUGGAAUACAGAUAGUGUCUUCCUCAUUGACAACUGUUGGGGAAUUCUUCAAGCAGUAUCAACAGACACAAGUGUCUUUAUUUCUGGACAAGUAGGAAACAUACCAGAUAUGAACACACAGAGUGCAGUCCCUGAACGGUUGAAUGCGUCCGUGCGUUUUGUGUCUGAGGACAUGGCGGUGAUUGGUGACGGCGCUGGGAGAUUCCACCUGUACUGUACCGGAGACCGGAGUACUUCACAUCAGUGGAAGGUUUUAUUUUCUGAUAGUCCUUUGGAGAACAGCACACCGUUUCUACUGGUAGACGCAGUGCUUCAUAGUGUUGACAGUGGGUAUAAACUGCAUUGUUUGUGUGUCCAUGUGUUAGAUUGUGAUGCUGAGCAGAAAGACAAAUACCGGUCUACCCACAUAACAGUGAUUGAGUGGAUAACUCUCAGCUCAGUUGAUAAAAACUCUUGGGUGUUGGAGAGAUCUAGAAGACUCUAUGGUCGGCGGCCAUUUGACUAUGCGGCACUAACUAAAGAUGGUUCUGCUAUAAUUGUUGCUGCAGAAGCUGGUUUUGUGUUUGAUUUUGACUCACUGAAGCCUGUCAGAGAAGAGGAACCAAUGGAAACUGCUUUAAAUCAGCAAGAGCCUGAGUAUACAUGGUCACAGAACACAGAGGAAGUAACGGCUCAGUUCACCUUACCCAGUGGUCUGACCAAAGCGGACGUUUACUACACACUGUCACACGACUAUAUUGACUUCGGAAUAAAAAAUGGUAAACAUUUACUGAAAGGACAGCUCCAUGCAGACGUAGAGGUGGAAUCCAGCACAUGGACAAUACAAAACCAGAGGUAAUCUUAGAGGUGGAGAGUAAUGAAAUUAGGAAUAAGGAUUUUCUCUUUUCAGAGAUGAUUUGCAAUACUUAUUGUGUUCUAUUUCACAAUUUUUCUUAUGUAAAAAGAUCUUGUAUGUGAAUUUUUAUUUAGUGGGUGAACUGUACCUGUAAAUUGCCAUGUAUUAUUUAUUCAGGGUAGAGUUGACUCUGAGUAAAGUAGAGGACCAGGUGUGGCCCCAGGUGGUUGUGGGAGACAAUCGAGGGGAGAUGACUAUGGACCCUGCAGUGGUAGCUCAGAUCCACGAACGACUGGCCGCCCUGACCUCAGACCAAAUGAAUCCAGAUCCGGAUGAGGGCAAGGAGAAACCAUACAACUCCCAGCAGCUGGAGGAGUGUGACGUGUAUCCGGAGGACAGCUCCGCACUGAUGAGGUUUGAUGGAGAUACGCAUAAAGUUACGCACAAGACAAAUACUGGAAGCAACCAGUUCCUGUUUUCUGUGUCUCUUUGCAAAGACAAACCCCCGGCACUCUGUUUGCGACAUGAUGUUGAUGGCAUAUUAUGGCAACCGGAAAACGAAUGUAAAGAGGCCCAGUCUUCAUGGCAACAUGUUUCAACAUUCAAUGCCCUUGGAUAUGUUCAGGCAUCGAAGCAAAAUCGUAAAUUCUCUAUUUGUGCCCCAGACUGUUCGUUUGCAGUAAUUUGUGACAUUUGGCGCCAUGCUUAUGUGUACAGGCAACCCGCAGCAAUAGCAUCACCCAUCAGAAAUCGUAAAGACGGGCGGCAAGUCAACACUAUUGCAAAGCAACAAGUAGUUUCUUUAGAGUGUACAGACCAUAUUGUUGGAAUUCAAUCAACAGCACAGACUCUUUUCAUUUUGACUGAAUCUAUACUGCAUGCAGUUCACAUGAACUAGACAUGCACAUACAAUUAUUUCAAUAAAAAUUGAGAAAAAUG
rnacentral:misc_RNA from 1 species